GUUUGGUAUUCCCAUCUCUUGAAGAAUUUCCCACAGUUUCUUGUGAUCCACACAGUCAAAGGCUUUGGCACAGUCAAUAAAGCAGAAGUAGACAUUUUUCUGGAACUCUAUUGCUUUUUUGAUGAUCCAAUGGAUGUUUGCAAUUUGAUCUCUGGUUCCUUGGCCUUUUUUUUUUUUUUUGGGAAACCUUUUAUUUCAUUCUUAACAUGCUUCAGCUGGUUCCCCCCCGCAACGCCCCGCCCGCCACAAAGCAAUUUAAGUACAGCUAUAAAGACUUAGGAGCACUUUACUUUGGAACAAUCGGUAUUUCUGGAAAACUUCUGGCUGGGUCUUUGACAUUUUCAUUUUGGAAGGUUCAACGGGAACUGUGCAAGAUUUCACGCUACAGUCUAGCUUAGUAACACGGCUGUUCUAGAAGACAACACAUUUUAAGCAUCCACAACACAACCUGCCCCGAGAGUGUUUGCUGAUUACAUUAAUGAUCUGGGUGGUUACAGAGACUUUUGUGCUCAUUUAAUCCAGUUCCUCCUCUGGUGUGCACACUGACAGACACAGGUUCUGCACACACAGACGACCGUGAGAUCUUCCUUCCCGCUUACAGCCAGGGCGGUGGUUGACGCAGGCACUGGCUAGUAAGCCUCAGGAGUCUGGUGACGCCUAGGUCUAGGGUGAUCUGGAAUGGGAAGAGUUAACGGCCCACAAGUCCCCUCACCCGCUGGCUCCAGCCACAUUCCAGAGGGACAGAGCUCAGUGACAACGGCGCCCAGGACCUGAAGUGAAGAGGAGAGCCCUCUGAGAGCCCUCUAUUCUUCGCCAUCUCUCGAAUUAAUUAACUGGAAAUGAGUCUUGUCAAUGUUUUGGAAAGGCAGAAGGGGUGAAAAGCGAUUGCUAGAAUUAAUCACAGUGAGAAACCACUUCAGCCGCCUGCCAGAGCCCAGAAAACCCCACAAGAGGAGACAAUGAAGGGAAGGACAGAGUGGACCCGAGCACUUCCAAGUCUUUGCCAAAGAAGGGACAUGUGUUCAGCGAGAGGAAUUUAUUAUCUGCGGCCACAAAUUUUUAUAACAAAAAUGGCUGCAGACAACAACAUAUUCUCAAGAAAGGGAAUCUUGGAUCAGCUAUCUGGCUACAUUAAAUUUAAAAGCAGUGAAAAUGAGGGUAUAACCCUCAUUUGAAGAAUGGAUGGUGGUGGUCCAAAGAAAGCAGGGUAAGUCAGUAACUUAAGUUAUUUGAACAUCUACUGAUAAAACAUCUAUUGUUUCUUGAAGUGAAGACUGAUACACUCUCCUAAAGGCAAAGAUUCUCAUCACCAUCUUGUAGACACAACUCCUAGCACAUAGCCUGACACAUAGUUGCAUGGCACAUAAGUGUAUGGAACUGAAAUGAGUGAUAUAUUCUGCCUAAAUUAUGAUAGUAUCUCCAUGAAUGAACUUAUAUUUGACUUUGAUAUUGAAGCAUUUCAGUCAUAUUUCAGAUAAAAGAGAGUGUGUUCACAGGAAUAAAGGCUCUUAAAGACAAAGCA
rnacentral:lncRNA from 1 species